rnacentral:lncRNA from 1 species
UUCAAUGGGCUCCUCACUCAAUUUUGAUUAUAUAUUGUCUAAUACAUAGAUAAUAACCUCUUUGUGGCUGAAUUGUAUUUUUAUGUUUAUACAGCAAUUAACACAAGUCAACUCUCAUUCAUUAGUCAUUUCAAAGGAUAAAUGAUUAGGCAGCAAUAUGUAAAUGAUGCCCCUUCCUUAAGCAGAGGGCCUCACCUGAUUAAGGCAAAAAGAAGGCAGAAAACGGCAGAAGGCAAUUACUGAAGCUUGGGGACGUAAGCAAGCUUUAUCUCGAAGGAAUUAUACAAUUUCCAUUCAGCUGAGGAGUGAUGAGGCAUUGUUACUGGACCAAUAUAUCCUAAGGCAAGCUGACAGUGCAAGUAAUUUCUUCUGUGAUAUGACCUCCUUGUCAGUUACAGUGUUGCUAUUAGAAAUAAUGCAGCUUCAGAAAAAGUUUAUAUGAGAACACUGCCUUUUUAUUCUAUUUUUAUCAUAGAUAUUACUAAACCAAAUUAAGCAUAUUACAAAAAUAAAUUAAACUUUCAUUAAGAGAACGUCA